GCUGGGAUUACAGGCAUGAGCCACUGCGCCCGGCCGUACUUCCUUUUUUAAACUAGACUUUUGCUAACCCAAAUGAUUCUUUUUUUUUCUUUUUUGAGAUGGAGUCUCACUCUGUUGCCCAGGCUGAAGUGCAGUGGAAUGAUCUCGGCUCACUGCAACCUCUGCCUCCCAGGUUCAAGCGAUUCUCCUGCUUCAGCCUCCUGAGUAGCUGGGAUUACAGGUUUAUUUGCAAGAUGGGUUUGAGGGAAUUAAGGAUAAAGUCUGCUGAAAGUAGCACCAGCCUCUGGAUUAAAAGGGAUGUUUGGAUGAAGCUUCAAUCUCAAGAAGAGGCAAGAGAAAACUAAAGAAAAAGAGACAAGAAGGUAGUUGACAAGCUGUGAACCUGCAUUGCAUUCUAGUGAUGGGACACGUGGAAGGGGAAGCUGAAGUUGAAGGGUGGAUGGUAGCAGCCACAGGGAGUGAGAUGGGCUCGUUUCUGGAGCUGUUGGGAGAGAAAAAGGGAGUCAAACGGGAAUUCACACAGGGUUGUGCAUUAUAUCCAAGUGUGUAUUCAGAUACAAGCCUUUAUCUCAAUACCUUCCUUACCCCCAUUCCGCACAUAUCUCAUACCAAAGUACAAAUAAAACCAUUCCCAAUUGUUCUAA
rnacentral:lncRNA from 10 species